AGAGUUUGAUCCUGGCUCAGAACGAACGCUGGCGGCAGGCCUAACACAUGCAAGUCGAGCGCACUCUUCGGAGUGAGCGGCGGACGGGUUAGUAACGCGUGGGAAUAUACCCUUCUCUAUGGAAUAGCCUCGGGAAACUGAGAGUAAUACCAUAUACGCCCUUCGGGGGAAAGAUUUAUCGGUGAAGGAUUAGCCCGCGUAAGAUUAGAUAGUUGGUGGGGUAAUGGCCUACCAAGUCUACGAUCUUUAGCUGGUUUGAGAGGAUGAUCAGCCACGGUUACCGCC
rnacentral:rRNA from 1 species